rnacentral:rRNA from 1 species
AACGAACGCUGGCGGCAUGCCUAACACAUGCAAGUCGAACGCCUGUAGCAAUACAGGAGUGGCGCACGGGUAGAGUAACGCGUGGGAACCUGCCUAGUGGUAAGGAAUAACCGCGGGAAACUGCGGCUAAUACCUUAUGAGCCCUACGGGGGAAAGAUUUAUCGCCAUUAGAGGGGCCCGCGUCCGAUUAGCUAGUUGGUGAGGUAACGGCUCACCAAGGCUCCGAUCGGUAGCUGGUCUGAGAGGAUGAUCAGCCACACUGGGACUGAGACACGGCCCAGACUCCUACGGGAGGCAGCAGUGGGGAGUAUUGGACAAUGGGGGCAACCCUGAUCCAGCAAUGCCGCGUGAGUGAUGAAGGCCUUAGGGUUGUAAAGCUCUUUCGACGGGGAAGAUGAUGACGGUACCCGUAGAAGAAGCCCCGGCUAACUUCGUGCCAGCAGCCGCGGUAAU